rnacentral:lncRNA from 7 species
GGAAAAGAAGGGUGACUUGUGGGCUCUGAGGAGGGGAUUUUGUGUUUUCAUGGCAUACAAAUGCAUUCCCUUUUCUGAUGUGUUUUUGUGCAUUGGUGUUUCAGGCGUGUGAGUGAGGACUCUCCGCUGGAAUUUGUACCGAGAAGAGCCCAGAUGGCGCCUUUGGUGUUCCGUUUCUGGAUGGUUGCCUGGAUCCGGAUUUUGUGCCUCAGGGGAAACCCAGAGCCCUCUUGGUCAAUCAACAGCGUGGAAUCGUGUCCCUGAGCCCGGUGUGGAUGCUGGAGGUGUGACUGGAGGUGUAGGUGAUCCAGCUUCCCCUCUGCGAUCCAGGAUGCGUGGGAGUCCGUCAUCUCGCAUGGAAGUGUGGCCAGGGAAGGCGUUGCCAAGUCCUCAGCUCUUUCCUGUGCUGGAGCCCCGCUGGAAUCCCAGGGGUCCGGAAAGAGGAAAGGAUACAUCUAGAAGAGGGAAAUACUCCCCGAGGUCAUCUCCUGGGCUAAAGGAACUCCUGAAGGAAAUGGAGAAGGCAGCGCGUGGAAGUGACCAACCAUCUGCACAGGACACGCUGCGGUUUGGCAGCCAUCCCACACUGCCAGUCUCGGCCAGAGGAGCACAGACAGCGCCGACAACUGGCAUGCCAGGGGUGGAUGCUGGGAAAAACACAAGGGCUGUGCUUCAGGAGUUUCUGCAGGUGCACUUCACCCUAGUGAUCGCAGUGCUUGUAACUGUGCUGCUGUCUGGGCUGGUGAUGACCUGUAUUGCUGUGUCGUGGAUGUGGCACAAAUAUCCAGUGUGCAAGAGGGCAGAGACAGCUCCAGGACAAGCUCAUCCUGAGAGUGACCGGGAGAGAGGCCAAUCUGGAGGUGAAGGCAGAGCGGAGCUGGGAGAGGCAACAGAAGAUGCCGUAGUUGCCCAAGAAAAGAAGAAUGUGUCCAGCGGAUCCAGCCCGUUCCCCUCCUCCUUUGAAGCGGAGUUUGAACAGCUGUGCAGCAAAAUCAGCACAGACCCUUCCCUUUGGCCCACGUGUACCAGCAGCUCUCCCACGGACGGCAUCUCUUCCCCAGAUGCUCGCGGUUCUCGGGGUUCCCCAUAGCCAUCUAGUGCUCCGGUUACCUGUGUCAGCAGGGCUGGGGUCCCCUGGAAGACCCCGCUUUGUGAGUAAUAAAGACACCCUGU